UCAUUUCUGUUAAUCACAAUUCUGGAGAAACAAGAGGAGAAAAUGUCAAGCAGCAAAAGUAGGAGGUGUGUGUCAGCAGGCAGCAUGCAUAAUUGAUGCAAAUAGGAAGAACAGGAUCAGAUUAAUGGAAGAUGGAAUCAAAUGCAUAUGCUGCUUUAAACGAAUUGUAAAUUGAAGGACUUCAGAAGUGGACUCCAGAAGGUGUUAGCAGUCUGUUCUAACCACUGACGACAUCAAUAGGAAUCUUUCCAUUGACUUAAUAGAUGGAUAGUCAGGCCUUGAGUUGAUACUUAGGAUAGGCCUGGCUAGAAAAUAAGAAUUCUGUUCUGUAAAAAAAGAAGGGGGAAAAAAGGAAGGGAAAAAAGAAAAGUUCCAAAAUGUCUUUUCUUUUUACAUAAGAAUGAAAAUGAAAUAUUUUUCAUGAGAAAAAUGAAAGCCAGAGAGAGAGUGUGAGAUGCUAGCCUAGUAGUCGAGGCACCCCCUGCACUUCACAAGGACUGACUGCAGAUUUGGGGAGGAUUUAAUCAGGAAUUUCAUCCUGGACCAGAGAAGUCCUUGACAAGAGAGAAAAUACAUUUCAGUUGAGAUUAAUCAAUAUUUUCUGAUGGAAUAUUGACAAAUGGAGAUGGGUGGGAAACAAUUUGUUUAUUAGAUACCCAAGUGCUCUAGAAUGGUUUUGGGUACACUGUAAAGGGAAGAAUGGGAGUACAUGCAUCCUACUAAUCCCUCCCCAACCCCUCCCCGAUUCAAAAAGUUACGCCAGUGAAUCAGUUCCUGGAACAGUUGAGCAGAGCCUUAGGGCUGCUCUGUUUUGCAUUGUCUGAAACUGACAAAGGGCAACUCUGCCAGGUAAGAUUCCCAGGGUGCAUCACCCUCCAGCCCUUCCACCAACACAACCCCUCCCUGUCCCAGAAUGCCCAUUCUCUUGUUUGUGUACCAUUUUCCACACAGGUGGUAAGGAUAUGCCCUGAGGCAAACAUGGUUAGAGUAGGUGACCAUAUUCUUAUUAGAGGAAACUGAGUUUGAUAACUUGCCAGUGGCAUGUGGCUCAACUUGAUUAGGCAACCUUAAAGCAAAUCUCAACAAGAACAAGGUAGAACUCAGACCACUUUAAAAAACAAAGAAAAUACAAUCAGUUACUUCAAAAUAAACAGUCUUAUUCCUACCAAACACUUGAGACUCCAUUUGGAUUGUCAGUAC